rnacentral:rRNA from 1 species
AUACGUAGGGGGCGAGCGUUGUCCGGAAUGAUUGGGCGUAAAGGGCGCGUAGGCGGCCCGGUAAGUCUGGAGUGAAAGUCCUGUUUUUAAGAUGGGAAUUGCUUUGGAUACUGUCGGGCUUGAGUGCAGGAAAGGUAAGUGGAAUUCCCAGUGUAGCGGUGAAAUGCGUAGAGAUUGGGAGGAACACCAGUGGCGAAGGCGACUUACUGGACUGUAACUGACGCUGAGGCGCGAAAGUGUGGGGAGCAAACAGGAUUAGAUACCCUGGUAGUCCACACUGUAAACGAUGAAUGCUAGGUGUAGGGGGUAUCGACCCCUUCUGUGCCGCAGUCAACACAAUAAGCAUUCCGCCUGGGGAGUACGGCCGCAAGGUUGAAACUCAAAUGAAUUGACGGGG